GAUACUGCUACCUUCGCCUGCUUCCUCCUACUCGAGCUUCUCUUCAGAGGGACCAUGAACCCAAUGUGCCCUCCACACGAUCGAGUGUGAAAGAAGUCGCUCUGUUGAGUAACCUUCAACUUUUACCUUUGAGAUAAAAGUGUUAUAUUUCUCAUCAAUCCAUUGGCGAGCCUCCGCAUGCCCAGAUUUGCUCUUCUGCAUCAAAUGUGCUAACACGAGUCCAUGUAUGAAGGACAUCAAAAUAUCUGUUGCCGCUGCCUGCUUGUGGAUGAAAAUGUGAACACUGCCUUCCUUAUCCAGCAAGAAAUAGUUCUCUGAAUAGAUUUGUGAAUACUUACAAAUCAGGGUGUGUAAGCCUUGAGGCUUUAGCACCUAAAUGUACAUGCUCAUGUGGCAGUUUAAUUCUAAGAAAUUUCCGCCAGCUUGACCAAUAUGGAAGAAUAUGCUCUUGCUUGGAAACCUGUUGUGGUUGUACUCACCUUCACCAUUGUCCAUGAAGUACUGCAGCAGGAUGGAACUUCUCUCAUAAUUUAGUGUUGUGAGUGAAAGUGACUGCACUGCCUUGUAAUUUGCAUACAUAUGGAAUAUCGUUAGAGAAAGGAAUGAAACCCAUACACCCAAAGCAUGCCCUCUGGUAACAUGGGCAAGAAGCAUUCCCAGUCCCAUUCCUAACAUUGUUGCAAGUGUCUCCUGACUGCCCUCCUGAAAAAUAUAUCAGCUGCAUUAUUGGCAAGUGCAAAAUGCUGGGUUAACGCUGCUCUAGUUGCUCCACUAGCAACACCAGCUAUACAGAUAAUAGGCUGCCUAAACACAUUAUAACAAUCAAUGAUGAAGGAAACAGAGGGCUUAAGAGAUCCAUCAACAUACCAAGGUCAUUCAUAAAGUCUGCAACUAGGCGCCACAUUUUAGCAUUGCUAUCAAGAAUUUGACACCUGAUAAAAAGUGAACAGUAUACCACCGAGCAUUCCUGUCAAAUCCCUGAGAAACCACUGAAAAGUGGCACCUAUAACCGUGGCAGAUUUCUCACCUACUCCAAUAGCGCCUAAAAGAGCCUGGAGUCCAUUCAAAAAUUAAUAUGGAAUUCACCUGCAAGGUAUCCCACAUCUGGAACGGGACGUAAUCCGGAGUGACGCUCCCAGGAAAGCCCUGCAGACAGAGAGGCAGCUCUCGCUCCCGGCCGCCGACCCGCCCCCACCGGCUUCCGAACCUGCGCGCGCCGCCGCCGCGAGGGGGAGGCGGUGAGGACGGCGGUGCGGGAGAGCGCGGCGGCGGAGGAGCCCGCCCACUCCUCGACCGUCACCCACCCCGCCGCCUCCUCCUCCGCCGCCUCCGUGGC
rnacentral:sRNA from 1 species